GAUGAAGAACGCAGCGAAAUGCGAUAAGUAAUGCGAAUUGCAGAAUUCAGUGAGUCAUCGAGUCUUUGAACGCACAUUGCGCCCCCUGGUAUUCCGGGGGGCAUGCCUGUCCGAGCGUCAUUGCUGCCCUCAAGCACGGCUUGUGUGUUGGGCCUCCGUCCUCCUCCCGGGGGACGGGCCCGAAAGGCAGCGGCGGCACCGCGUCCGGUCCUCGAGCGUAUGGGGCUUCGUCACCCGCUCUUGUAGGCCCGGCCGGCGCUUGCCGACACAUCAAUCUUUUUUCCAGGUUGACCUCGGAUCAGGUAGGGAUACCCGCUGAACUUAAGCAUAUCAAUAAGCGGAGGA
rnacentral:misc_RNA from 1 species